GACGAACGCUGGCGGCGUGCCUAAUACAUGCAAGUAGGACGCAGUUGCGAACGGGAGGGUAACGCGUAGGUAACUACCUAUUAGAGGGGGAUAACUAUUGGAAACGAUAGCUAAUACCGCAUACUAGUAGAUGGACCUGCGUUGUAUUAGCUAGUAGGUAGGGUAAUGGCCUACCUAGGGAACGAUACAUAGCCGACCCGGGAGGGUGGUCGGCCACACCGGGACUGUGGCCCGGCUCAGAAUCCCACGGGGAGUAGCCGUAGGGAAACUUCGGCAAUGGGGGGAAACCUGACCGCGCCACGCCGCGGGAGUGAAGAAGGUUUUCGGAUUGUAAAGCUAUGUUGUUAAGGAAGCGGUACUUACACAGAAAGGGACGGCUAACUACGUGCCAGCAGCCGCGGUAAUAC
rnacentral:rRNA from 1 species